CGUAGGGGCGAAGCGUUAUCCGGAGUUUACUUGGGUGUAAAGGGAGGCGUAGACGGUUUGUCAAGUCUGAAGUGAAAGACCCCCGGGCCGUUAACCCCGGGAACCGUGCUUUGGAAACUAGUAGAACUAGAGUGCAGGAGAGGUAAGUGGAAUUCCUAGUGUAGCGGUGAAAUGCGUAGAUAUUAGGAGGAACACCAGUGGCGAAGGCGGCUUACUGGACUGUAACUGACGUUGAGGCUCGAAAGCGUGGGGAGCAAACAGGAUU
rnacentral:rRNA from 1 species